AAAUGUCCAUACAGAAGAUCUGCUGAAAAAUCCACAUUAUAUUCGGGAAGCUAAGUCCAAGGGCUUAGUUAUAUUUUGCUGGGGGGAUGAUACAAAUGACCCUGAGAAUCGGAAACUCAUGAGAGAGUAUGGCAUUAAUGGACUCGUCUAUGACAGGAUCUGCGACUGGAACCCAGAACAACCAAACAUAUUCAAAGUUGAACAAAUGGAGCGUCUUAAGCGGGAGCUACCUGCUGAAAUGCUGCAGAGCUGCCUCUGCCCGGUGGUCAACCACUUUGUCUGUACCGCAACAAGCUGCACAAACGGCAGCAAGCGACUGGAAUCCAAUGGUGUCAUUAACCACCAGCCAGUUUAAUGUCUCGCUCGCUCAUUCUACUGACAUCUCAGGGGCCACAUCAUCUUGUGCUAGCAAAGCAAUAGCAUAGCCAUUUCCCGCCUGCUGUCUCUGUGUAUUUUCUUGGCUAGAUUUAGUUGUCAUUUCAUUGUAAAAAAAAUAAUAAUAAUAAUAAUGUACAGUAAGACCUGUCCUCAGUAGAGAUGAGUGAAUUUCAUAUUUUGAAAUUCGUUCACGAUUCGUUUGGUGGUAGAAGCAGAAUUGCGUUAUGGAUUCCGUUACCACGGACCAGAACGAAAUUCUGUGACGGAAUGCAUAUCGGAUCCAUCCCGUUAUGCAGGGGCAUAACUGAAAUGGGACGGAUCAAUUAUGCAGCCCAUAGACUUCUAUUAUGAUGGAAGAAUUGCGUUAUGGUCCGUGGUAAAGGAAUCCUUAACGCAAUUCUGCUUUUACCACGAAACGAAGUGUGAAUUAAUUUCUAAAUCAAAAAAUUCACUCAUCUCUAGUCAUCAGUGCAAGCAAUGUCCUGAUGCUCAAGUUUUGUGCAGUGUAAAAUGCCGCCAUGUCACCAUAGUACCUCAGCAGGGAAGGGUUUGCAUUUUCCUUCAAGUGUAAUAUCCAUCCUUUGCACAGCCGUUCUCAGUGUGCUUGUUAGAGAUGAGCGAAUUUCUUGUUAUGAAAUUCGCUUGGUGGUAAAAGCAGAAUUGCGUUAUGGAUUCCGUUGCCGCAGACCAUAAUGCAAUUCUGACGGAAUCCCUUUAGAGGCAUUCUGUUAUUCUUUCCGUCAUAAUAGAAGUCUAUGGCCUGCAUAACGGAUCCGUCCCGUUUCCGAUGUGCAGGAAAGAACUCCUGCACCAAAACAAAGUGUGAACGAAUUAAAAAAUAUGAAAUUCGAUCAUCUCUACGUCUAAUCCCUGUACUGUAUUUAUAAUUAUUUCUGCCCAUUUAAUGGAUUACCUCAGUUGCAGAAUUUUGCACGGCUCAAUGCAGUGGUACAAUACAAUGUGUCAUUGCGUUCCAGUCCUUUUUUUCUUCUUUUUUUUUUUUUUUUUUUUCCUUUAAUGGUAGGAUUAUCAUGAUGUUCACUAAGCCAUUGUAUCCUAGUAGUAUAGACACAUUGGUGAUUUUUCUUUUCUACGUGUAUGCCUGCUUGCAUUGUGCCCGGUCAGAUGAACAGAUUAUGGUAGGUCUUAGCUGUUCUUGGGGAAUUUAGUAUGAUGAGGCAGACACUCACUGCUCACACAUCUGUAAUAUUAGUAUGAGGUAUGAAACCCUUGUGUGCAUUUAUAGCCGAUAGGUCUGGGUUGCACGCAUAUUAACUUAGGAUGUUUUUAACCUAUUUGCUGGGGGAGGGAAGAAACGUAGAUAAUGUAUUCAAACAAUGCUUGCUCUACCUGCUGCAAGCACAGAGAUGAAUCAUGGUGCUUAUACAUUUUCCAAAAGCCGAUAUGUACAGUAUGUAUGUGUGUGUGUGUGUGUGUGUGUGUGUAUAUAUAUAUAUAUAUAUAUAUAUAUAUAUAUAUAUAUAUAUAUAUAUUUGUGUGAGUUUCUUAGAAAUUAUGUGCUAGAUGCAGCAAUCGCCUUGUGGAUCAGCAGUUUCCAUAAGGGGGAACACUAAGCAUGCCCGCCAUGGACUGUUCCUGCACCCGCUGCAGGUUUUCCAUACAGUCACCACACCUCUGGAAUGUAGCUUUGUCUUUAGCACAAGCAGUCUUUUAAUGUACAUGUAGACAGAAUUGUCCACCUUGUAGGUAGAUGUUAGCACGGUUCUAAACGUGCACCCUGAUGGAGUUAUGCAUACUGCCUAUACAAUGAAGUCAGCUGUUUGUUUCCUAGUAGUCAUGUAGGUGAUGACAUACUGAAAGUGGAAGAAACUAUAUUUUUUUCCCCUUUUAUACACUGGCUGCCUUGGUACACAGUAGGUAUGCAUACUGAUGAUGAAUUCUGGCUCACCGCACAAUCCAGACAUAUGCAUUAUACAAACUGUAUUCCCGCUGACACCAGUCAGUCGCCAUGUCUAUAGUGCACUAAUGUUUCAGUGUGCCUUUUGUGCAUAAAAAGGACUAUACUUCUACCAAAUACCCCUCACCUGGUGUUUGUGCUGGGGGGAAUGUAAGCAGCAGUGUCUGUACAAGGUGCAGUUCAUGAAGCCUGUAUUGUACAAAAUACUUUACUCUGGGGAAAGGUCUGUUCUGCUUGGUUUCCUUUGCUCCUUCAAAGUCAAUAGAAUCAUUACCUAGUUGAUCUGUCACAUCAGUCAUGGGUCUUGUGAUAACUGAAGCCAUGAUCCCAGUGUGAACAGAGCUGUUCUCCACACCAUAAAAAUGUAAGUUGUCUUUGUUCCAAGGGAACUUGUCACAUUGCAGAUGCAGUCCAAUCUGCAGGCAGCACGUUCUAGAGCAGGAGGAGCUGAGCAGAUUGGUAUAUAGGUUUGUAGGAUACGAUCCAGUGUAGCUAGCAUUGAUUGAAAGCUCUGCUCUUCUUGGCUUAGGAGUCCAGUGGGCGGUCCUACUCAGUGACUGACCGUUUUUCCUGUGAAAGUGUACAUACAGAGAUAGCUGUCAGUCAGGGAUAGGGUUUACCUCUGGUCUCCAAAACCCAGAAGUAGAGGUUUAAAUGAAUACAUUCCUACCCACUAAACGAUAUAUCAGUCUGCUCAGCUCCUCCUGUUCUAUAACAUAAUGCUUGCAGAUCAAGCUGCAUUUUCAAUAUGACUGGUUCCCUUUAAGCUUUUAAUCGCCAACAUACAAUGUGCCAAAAGCACUGAAAAUCUAUUAGCAGGUGGACAACGGUAACCUAUCUGUACUGCCUCCAAAUAAAGGCUAAGACAAGACAUGAAUUGACAAUGACACUGUAAUGUAUUAGCUACUUUGAAAUCCCCUUUUUGUGCUUCCACUUAAGUCUUAGGGGGGAAUGCAUUCUAACCGGUAGAAGACUUUGUCAGUGUGGGGAGUCUGAGCCGUCUGAGUGGGUGAGAAGUACCCUCUUUUGAGUAAUAACGUUGGCUUUGUGUGCCUCAUUCCAUUUAAAUGACAUUGCCUCCACACAUCUGUAAAGUUUCAUACUUGACCAUUGAAGUCCAUAUACUCCCCGUUUCUGGGGGUUGAUCUCAAUUAUUCAGGAGUUGUGGUGAUUUUUUUUUUUUACAAUUCAGUCAGGUGCUUGCACCGCCUCCUGGUAUCUAUUAGUAUUGGUGAUGUAUCGCGUACCUUUUAUUUAUUAUACUUACUCCAAUGCAUGUGUCUGCAUCGCUGCUGAUUUUCUUUCUUCGUAGAGUGUCAUUGUUAGUGUGUACUUUCUACUUAAUAAAGUCUCUUCACCCGCA